GAUGAACGCUGGCGGCGUGCCUAAUACAUGCAAGUCGAGCGAACACGAGGAGCUUGCUCCUCUGACGUUAGCGGCGGACGGGUGAGUAACACGUGGAUAACCUACCUAUAAGACUGGGAUAACUUCGGGAAACCGGAGCUAAUACCGGAUAAUAUAUUGAACCGCAUGGUUCAAUAGUGAAAGACGGUUUUGCUGUCACUUAUAGAUGGAUCCGCGCCGCAUUAGCUAGUUGGUAAGGUAACGGCUUACCAAGGCAACGCUGCGUAGCCGACCUGAGAGGGUGAUCGGCCACACUGGAACUGAGACACGGUCCAGACUCCUACGGGAGGCAGCAGUAGGGAAUCUUCCGCAAUGGGCGAAAGCCUGACGGAGCAACGCCGCGUGAGUGAUGAAGGUCUUCGGAUCGUAAAACUCUGUUAUUAGGGAAGAACAAAUGUGUAAGUAACUAUGCACGUCUUGACGGUACCUAAUCAGAAAGCCACGGCUAACUACGUG
rnacentral:rRNA from 1 species